CGAUUACAAAUAACAAGUGAUAUAAGUUAAAGAAAAAAAUUAGUUAAAAUGAUAGAAGUAUAAAUUUCAACGUAAAAUCAAGCCUUCAUCAGGAUAAGAAAAGAUUUCAAAACUUUUCAAAAAAUCAAAAAUAGAACUUAUAAUCAAAGCCAACUUAUUAUUACUUUGGAACUCAAAACAAUCACACAUUCUCUCCAACGAUAUUCUUCCUCCACCACCCUUCUUUGCCAAGAAAAUGCAGACUAAAACGCCAAGCAAGAAAGGCUUCCGCCUCCGCUCCAUCGUCCUCCACUCCUUGUGGAUAACCAUCAUCGGUAUACUCCUGUUCCGCCUAGCCACGGCCAACACACAGAGAGUUCUCUACGUCAAAUUCUUUGCAAUAUCCGGUACUAUUCUCGCCACUGUUCCUUGGAUCUUUCAUCUUCUCGUUUCAACAACAAUCAUAUUAUUAUACAAAGCCAAUGUCUGUGAUCUAACAUGGAUUGUCAAGUUGCCCUCUGAAGAGACUUCAUGUUGCCAGGAGAUGAAGGCAGUGAAGGAAGCCAUCAGAGGAAGUGAUCGGAUUGGUAUUGGAACUGCACACAAAGAUCUGUUUUUCUGUCUG
rnacentral:misc_RNA from 1 species